rnacentral:rRNA from 1 species
AAUGAACGUUGGCGGCGUGGAUUAGGCAUGCAAGUCGAGCGCUCAUCAGCAAUGGUGGGAGCGGCGAACGGCGCAGUAAUGCAUCGGAACGUACCCUCUGGACGGGGAUAGCCACGGGAAACUGUGGGUAAUACCCGAUAAUCUCUGCGGAGCAAAGGUGUGAUUCCGCCGGAGGAGCGGCUGAUGUGAUAUUAGCUAGUUGGUGGGGUAAUGGCCUACCAAGGCGAUGAUGUCUAGGGGGUGUGAGAGCAUGGCCCCCACGACCGGAACUGAGAUACUGUCCGGACACCUACGGGUGGCUGCAGUCGAGAAUCUUCCGCAAUGGACGAAAGUCUGACGGAGCGACGCCGCGUGCGGGAUGAAGGCCCUUGGGUUGUAAACCGCUGUCAGAGGGGAUGAAAUCGUCGGGGGGUACUCCCCCGAUGUUGACAGAGCCUCAAAGGAAGCACGGGCUAAGUACGUG